GACGAACGCUGGCGGCGUGCUUAACACAUGCAAGUCGAACGGAAAGGCCCUGCUUUUGUGGGGUGCUCGAGUGGCGAACGGGUGAGUAACACGUGAGUAACCUGCCCUUGACUUUGGGAUAACUUCAGGAAACUGGGGCUAAUACCGGAUAGGAGCUCCUGCUGCAUGGUGGGGGUUGGAAAGUUUCGGCGGUUGGGGAUGGACUCGCGGCUUAUCAGCUUGUUGGUGGGGUAGUGGCUUACCAAGGCUUUGACGGGUAGCCGGCCCGAGAGGGUGACCGGCCACAUUGGGACUGAGAUACGGCCCAGACUCCUACGGGAGGCAGCAGUGGGGAAUAUUGCACAAUGGGCGGAAGCCUGAUGCAGCAACGCCGCGUGCGGGAUGACGGCCUUCGGGUUGUAAACCGCUUUCGCCUGUGACGAAGCGUGAGUGACGGUAAUGGGUAAAGAAGCACCGGCUAACUAUGUG
rnacentral:rRNA from 1 species